rnacentral:sRNA from 1 species
UUUUAGCCCAGAUUGCAAUGGAAAUCCUUUUUUAUUGUUUUUUUGAAAGACGUCUUUCCCGAAACUUCGGGAUGCAAUAAACGUUACAAAAACAAUAAAAAAGAUUGUAAUGGAAAGCUGGACACGAG